rnacentral:rRNA from 1 species
UACAGAGGUCCCAAGCGUUGUUCGGAUUCAUUGGGCGUAAAGGGUGCGUAGGCGGUUAUGUAAGUUGGAUGUGAAAUCCCGGGGCUUAACCCUGGAACUGCAUUCAAUACUGCGUUGCUAGAGUACUGGAGAGGAGGUUGGAAUUCACGGUGUAGCAGUGAAAUGCGUAGAUAUCGUGAGGAAGACCAGUGGCGAAGGCGAAUCUCUGGACAGUAACUGACGCUGAGGCACGAAGGCUAGGGGAGCAAACGGG